rnacentral:rRNA from 1 species
UACGGGGGGGGCAAGCGUUGUUCGGAAUUACUGGGCGUAAAGGGCGCGUAGGCGGCCUUCUAAGUCGGACGUGAAAUCCCUCGGCUUAACCGAGGAACUGCGUCCGAUACUGAAAGGCUUGAAUCCGGGAGAGGGAUGUGGAAUUCCAGGUGUAGCGGUGAAAUGCGUAGAUAUCUGGAGGAACACCGGUGGCGAAGGCGGCAUUCUGGACCGAAACUGACGCUGAGGCGCGAAAGCCAGGGGAGCAAACGGG